GCUGUGAUGGCCGAGUGGUUAAGGUGUUGGAUUUGAAAUCCAAUGGGAUUUCCCACGCAGGUUCGAGCCCUGCUCACAGUG